rnacentral:rRNA from 1 species
AGGUCACUGCUAUCGGUGUUCGAUUAAGCCAUGCGAGUCGAGAGGUGCAAGACCUCGGCAUACUGCUCAGUAACACGUGGACAACCUACCCUAUGGAGGGGGAUAACCCCGGGAAACUGGGGAUAAUACCCCAUAGAUUAUGGAUGCUGGAAUGCUCUGUAGUUGAAAGGUCCGCCGCCAUAGGAUGGGUCUGCGGCCGAUUAGGUUGUUGUUGGGGUAACGGCCCAACAAGCCUGUAAUCGGUACGGGUUGUGGGAGCAAGAGCCCGGAGAUGGAUUCUGAGACACGAAUCCAGGCCCUACGGGGCGCAGCAGGCGCGAAAACUUUACAAUGCGGGAAACCGUGAUAAGGGAACUCCGAGUGCCCGUUAAAUCGGGCUGUCCACCAGUUUAAAAAACUGGUGAAGAAAGGGCCGGGCAAGACCGGUGCCAGCCGCCGCGGUAAUACCGGCGGCUCGAGUGGUGGCCACUAUUACUGGGCUUAAAGCGUUCGUAGCUGGUUUGUUAAGUCUCUGGGGAAAUCUGCCGGCUUAACCGGCAGGCGUCUCAGGGAUACUGGCAGACUAGGGACCGGGAGAGGUGAGGGGUACUCCAGGGGUAGGAGUGAAAUCCUGUAAUCCUUGGGGGACCACCUGUGGCGAAGGCGCCUCACCAGAACGGCUCCGACAGUGAGGGACGAAAGCUGGGGGAGCAAACCGGAUUAGAUACCCGGGUAGUCCCAGCUGUAAACGAUGCGCGUUAGGUGUAUCGGUGACCACGAGUCACCGAGGUGCCGAAGAGAAUCGUGAAACGUGCCGCCUGGGAAGUACGGUCGCAAGGCUGAA